rnacentral:rRNA from 1 species
CAUUAUUGAAUAUUCUGGAUGGGUUGUAGCUGGCUCUUUGGGGCAUGUGCACGCCUGUCUUGACUUUAUUCAUCCACCUGUGCACUUUUUGUAGUCUUGGAGGUUGAGAGCGGUCGACUAUCGGAUGGCUGUUAUGGCCUUUCCGGAUGUGAGGAAUUGCUGAGUGCAAAAGCAUACAGCUCUUCUCAAAACGACUUGCAAUACCUCUCCUUCAAGUACUAUGUAUUCAUAUACCACAUAGUAUGUUGUAGAAUGUGAUCAAUGGGCUUAUGUGCCUAUAAUAAUCAUAUACAACUUUCAGCAACGGAUCUCUUGGCUCUCGCAUCGAUGAAGAACGCAGCGAAAUGCGAUAAGUAAUGUGAAUUGCAGAAUUCAGUGAAUCAUCGAAUCUUUGAACGCACCUUGCGCUCCUUGGUAUUCCGAGGAGCAUGCCUGUUUGAGUGUCAUUAAAUUCUCAACCCCUCUAGCUUUUGCGAGCUGCGAUGGGGCUUGGAUGUUGGGUUUGCGGGCCUUUAUUAAUAGAGGUCGGCUCUCCUGAAAUGCAUUAGCGGAACCGUUUGCAGUCCCGUCACUAGUGUGAUAAUUAUCUACACUGUGAUGAUUGCUCUCUGACUAGUUCAGCUGCUAAUCGUCCAUUGUCGGACAAUAUUUAAUGAACUUCUUGACCUCAAAUCAGGUAGGACUACCCGCUGAACUUAAGCAUAUCAAUAAGCGGAGGAAAAGAAACUAACAAGGAUUCCCCUAGUAACUGCGAGUGAAGCGGGACAAGCUCAAAUCUAAAAUCUGGCGGUCUCUGGCCGUCCGAGUUGUAAUCUAGAGACGUGAUGCCCGCGCUGGACCGUGUACCAGUCUCCUGGAAUGGAGCGUCAUAGAGGGUGAGACUCCCGUCUCUGACACCGACUACCAAGGCUUUGUGGUACGCUCUCAAAGAGUCGAGUUGUUUGGGAAUGCAGCUCUAAAUGGGUGGUAAAUUCCAUCUAAAGCUAANUAUUGGCG